UUUAGUUGCCAGCAGUUCGGCGUGGGCACUACGUAAAGGACUGCCGGUGUUAACCGGAGGAAGGUGGGGAUGACGUCAAGUCCUCAUGGCCUUUAUGACCAGGGCUACACACGUACUACAAUGGCCGAUACAAAGGGCAGCGACACUGCGAGGUGAAGCCAAUCCCGUAAAAUACGGUCUCAAUCCGGAUUGGAGUCUGCAACUCGACUCCAUGAAGUUGGAAUCGCUAGUAAUCGUGGAUCAGCAUGCCACGGUGAAUACGUUCCCGGGCCUU
rnacentral:rRNA from 1 species